rnacentral:rRNA from 1 species
UACGUAGGGUGCAAGCGUUAAUCAGAAUUACUGGGCGUAAAGCGUGCGCAGGCGGUUAUGUAAGACAGGUGUGAAAUCCCCGGGCUUAACCUGGGAACUGCAUUUGUGACUGCAUAGCUAGAGUACGGUAGAGGGGGAUGGAAUUCCGCGUGUAGCAGUGAAAUGCGUAGAUAUGCGGAGGAACACCGAUGGCGAAGGCAAUCCCCUGGACCUGUACUGACGCUCAUGCACGAAAGCGUGGGGAGCAAACAGG